UUCACGCCGCGUCCAGUGCUAGCAGCAUCGUGUGUGUGUAGAGUAGCCGCUCUUGGUGCGUGCUCGAGCGGCUCUUCAUGAACAGAGUCCCGCGCCUCCCCAGGUCGCCCCUCCAAUGAACAACGGCAUCGAGCCACACGAGCUACCCCAUCAUGCCCGCCGGCGUAUCUCUGCUAGACGUCGCUUGCCUCCUGACCCGCGUGGGAUCCGGUUGGAUCUGAACAGGAACAUGCUCCUCCGUCCAUUUCCGUCGGCGUAUCUCUGCUAACCGUCUCUAGCUGUCGGAUAUGACCGAGAAUGGGCAAUUCUCUGCCAGAUCUGCCCCGUUGCAGCAUUCCGUCGCCCCGCCACCGCCGGAGGACCUCGCCAUCGUCCACGCGAGUGCCACCGCUGAUUUCUUCUGUUCGUGAGGAGACGAGGGACGCAACACUCGCCUGUAUUGACCACGAGCAGGAGUCGGGCAUGGCCACCAACUCCUCCAGAUCGAGCAUGCAAGAGCCCAACCAGCGCAGGCCUAACCUCCUCCGAGCCCAGCAAACAUUGCC
rnacentral:lncRNA from 1 species